UACGUAGGGGGCAAGCGUUGUCCGGAAUCAUUGGGCGUAAAGAGCGUGUAGGCGGCCAGAUAAGUCCGCUGUGAAAUCUCGAGGCUCAACUUCGAGCUGUCGGUGGAAACUGUCUGGCUAGAGUCCGGAAGAGGAGAAUGGAAUUCCUGGUGUAGCGGUGAAAUGCGCAGAUAUCAGGAAGAACACCCGUGGCGAAGGCGGUUCUCUGGGACGGUACUGACGCUGAGGAGCGAAAGCGUGGGGAGCAAACAGG
rnacentral:rRNA from 1 species